rnacentral:rRNA from 1 species
AGAUUGAACGCUGGCGGCAGGCCUAACACAUGCAAGUCGAGCGGCAGCACGGGUACUUGUACCUGGUGGCGAGCGGCGGACGGGUGAGUAAUGCCUAGGAAUCUGCCUGGUAGUGGGGGAUAACGCUCGGAAACGGACGCUAAUACCGCAUACGUCCUACGGGAGAAAGCAGGGGACCUUCGGGCCUUGCGCUAUCAGAUGAGCCUAGGUCGGAUUAGCUAGUUGGUGAGGUAAUGGCUCACCAAGGCGACGAUCCGUAACUGGUCUGAGAGGAUGAUCAGUCAACACUGGAACUGGAGACACGGU